UACGUAGGGGGCUAGCGUUGUCCGGAUUUAUUGGGCGUAAAGAGCGUGUAGGCGGCCAGGUAGGUCUGGUGUGAAAACUCGAGGCUUAACCUCGAGAUGUCAUCGGAAACCAUCUGGCUAGAGUCCGGAAGAGGAGAGUGGAAUUCCUGGUGUAGCGGUGAAAUGCGCAGAUAUCAGGAAGAACACCCGUGGCUAAGGCGGCUCUCUAGUACGGUACUGACGCUGAGACGCGAAAAGCGUGGGGGAGCGAACAGG
rnacentral:rRNA from 1 species